rnacentral:rRNA from 1 species
AUGCCGUGCGCCGCCGAGCUUGUCAACGGUGAGGGGGGCGCUAUCAAGGUGGGCACAACCGGCACCAUCGGCUCGCUCAUGACGAGAGAACUGGAGGCCAUCAAAGUCGCGCCGCAAGGAGCUGCCACCCCGCGCCUGAGACGCCAAAGCAGUCCGGUUUCGGUGCCCUGCGGCGCUAGCCCCCGGAAGAUCAUCCCAAGGAAGAGCUCGUCCAGUGUCUCCAGCAGCAGCAAUGGCAGAGCUGACCGUGUGAGCGCUGAAGAAGCCUGCAAGACGAGGAGGAGCUCUCAGCGGAACAAGUCGAGCUCCCCAAUGCUGCACUCGGAUGGCGCGCUGGUUGACAGGAGCCCCAACUUCGAGAAGGCCAAGAAGAAAGGAAAUGUGCAUGGCGUCGAGGUGGUGGAUGUCAGGUGCGGUAAUCCGAUGAGCAGCCGCCUCAGGAAGCUGGGUUUCUCCAAGCUGUCGGAGACCUUUGCCUAG